UGAAACCACAGCGGAGUUGCAGACAGUUUUUCAAGCCGAGAGGAUGUAAAUUCUGUUUGACUCUUUUCUCUUUUUCUCUACCCCCUGACGAAAGAUUGAAUCCGAAACGUUGGAUAUUACACUCCUCACGGCAAAUUCACUGUA